UCCGGUUUGUCACCGGCAGUCUUGCUAGAGUGCCCAACUUAAUGAUGGCAACUAACCACGGGGGUUGCGCUCGUUGCGGGACUUAACCCAACAUCUCACGACACGAGCUGACGACAGCCAUGCACCACCUGUCUCAGAGCUCCCUUGCGGGCACUCCCCUGUUUCCAGGAGAUUCUCUGGAUGUCAAGCCCUGGUAAGGUUCUUCGCGUUGCGUCGAAUUAAACCACAUCCUCCACCGCUUGUGCGGGCCCCCGUCAAUUCCUUUGAGUUUCACACUUGCGUGCGUACUCCCCAGGCGGGAUACUUAACGCGUUAGCUACGGCACUGAGGGGGUCGAUACCCCCAGCACCUAGUAUCCAUCGUUUACGGCAUGGACUAC
rnacentral:misc_RNA from 1 species